rnacentral:rRNA from 1 species
AACGAACGCUGGCGGCAUGCCUAACACAUGCAAGUCGAACGAGACCUUCGGGUCUAGUUGCGCACGGGUGCGUAACGCGUGGGAACCUGCCCUUAGGUUCGGAAUAACUCCCCGAAAGGUGUGCUAAGACCGGUUAAUGUCUUCGGACCAAAGACUUAUCGCCUUUGGAUGGGCACGCGUUGGAUUAGGUAGUUGGUAGGGUAAAAGCCUACCAAGGCGACGAUCCAUAGCUGGUCUGAGAGGAUGAUAAGCCACACUGGGAAUGAGACACGGCCCAGACUCGUACGGGAGGCAGCAGUGGGGAAUAUUGGACACUGGGCCAAAGCCUGACACAGCAAUGCCGCGUGAGUGAUGAAGGCCUUAGGGUUGUAAAGCUCUUUUACACGGGAUGAUAAUGACAGUAACGGGAGAAUAAGCUCCGGCUAACUCCGUG